rnacentral:rRNA from 1 species
AGAAGUGGGUAGUUUAACCUUCGGGAGGACGCUCACCACUUUGUGGUUCAUGACUGGGGUGAAGUCGUAACAAGGUAGCCCUAGGGGAACCUGGGGCUGGAUCACCUCCUUAUACGAAGAUA